rnacentral:rRNA from 1 species
UACAGAGGGGGCAAGCGUUGUUCGGAAUUACUGGGCGUAAAGGGCGCGUAGGCGGCCUUCUAAGUCGAACGUGAAAUCCCCGGGCUCAACCCGGGAACUGCGUCCGAUACUGGAAGGCUUGAAUCCGGGAGAGGGAUGCGGAAUUCCAGGUGUAGCGGUGAAAUGCGUAGAUAUCAAGAGGAAUACCUGAGGUGAAGACGGGUUGCUAGGCCGACACUGACGCUGAAGCGCGAAAGCGUGGGUAGCAAACAGG